GACGAACGCUGGCGGCGUGCUUAACACAUGCAAGUCGAACGAAGUGGCGAACGGGUGAGUAACGCGUAAUCAACCUGCCCUUCCGAGGGGGACAACAGUUGGAAACGACUGCUAAUACCGCAUACUGAAGGAGGGGUUUGCGGUGGAUUAGCUGGUUGGAGGGGUAACGGCCCACCAGGUCGAGGAACAGUAGCCGGUCUGAGAGGAUGAACGGCCACAUUGGGAACGGUGCACGGCCCAGACUCCUACGGGAGGCAGCAGUGGGGAAUCAUGCGCAAAGGACGAAAGUCGGACGGAGCAACGCCGCGUGCGUGAUGACGGCCUUCGGGGUGUAAAGCUCUGUUAAUCGGGACGCGGUACCGGAAUAGAAAGCCACGGCUAACUACGUGCCAGCAGCCGCGGUAAUAC
rnacentral:rRNA from 1 species